GCAAACGGGGAAAUGCAAACCCCAUUUAUAGGGUCACAUUUGGAGGAGCCGGCUCCGUCGGGGGCAGGAGGGAGGAAGUGGUGGGGAGGCUCAGGGUGUGUCAGAUCCAGCCUCCCCACCUCUGCUGAGCUGGCGGCUGGACUCAAGGCCUGCCACGUCUUCCUGCUCUGCAGUGCACUAGCUGUGUGACCUUCUGCAAACUGGGUAACCACACUGCCUCCCCACCCCAUCUCCUCCAAGCAACCAUACAGCAUUGAAAGCGAAGCCUUAUCCAUCAUCCACGUCAAAGGGGCUGGAAAGGUCCGAAUCCACCUGAAUGACAACUAAAGUUUCGAGAAUGGGAAUGCAAAAGGGGAUUCAAAGCCACCUGCAUUCCUCGGCCCAUGGCCCCUUCUACCAUCUUUGAAGGCAGCAGCAUAGCACAUCUUCGAAUCUCUCUCUGGCCCUGAAACUCUUGUCUGUGUCUUAUGAGGACCCUUGUGACUACAUUGAGCCCACCCAGAUAAUCCAGGAUAAUCUUCCAGCCUCAAGAUCCUUAACUCAAUCACAUCUGCCAAGUCCCUUUUGCCAUAUAAGGUAACACACAUUCACAGGUUCUGCAGAUUAGGAUGUGAACAUCUAUGGCAGGGGGAGGGAACAUUAUUCUAUCAACUACACCUUGGGAAUCACAUAGCAUAGCAUCAUGUCCACAGUAAAGACUGGUCAAAAUUGUCACAGCCAGCUCAGAUUCUAGAGUAGGGGUCAUAGACCCAACCUCUCAAUGGAAGGAGUGCCAAUAAAUGUGUGGCCAUGUGGCCUUGGUUUGAAACUACCACGCCUUUCCUGUUGUGGCUGCUCCACAUUGGCUAACGGGGGAGGAGCUUCACCCCCAUUUUUGACUCAGCAACACGAACAUGAAAAGAGAUGGACAGUCCAGCAGACAUUGAAAGGGGGCAAAAGAUACGCCAUGCAGUUGCACUUCGUGUAAAUUUUAAAUAGUAUCACAUACAAAAUUAAUAAACCUUCUCUUUAUGCACAGUUGAAGCCAAGAAAAUCUUACUUUAUAUUUAUUCCUAACUGAAAACUAGACUCGAAUUGUGCAAGUUUUA
rnacentral:lncRNA from 10 species